CUGCGCAUGAGGCAAGUUGACCUUAUUGAAGACGGUGUUGCAGCGAGUAGCAGAACCUUAACAAAGAUGGCUUCGUCUUUGAGAAAAGUCUGCAGACGCGCUAUUCACAAAUUACGCGCUCAAGGCAAAAUGAAAGUUGGUGGCCGUCAUUGCUUUGUUAUGCUGGAUUAAAGCAAGUUCUCACACAAAAGAAAGUACAACCGUGGGAGGAUGGUACCAGCAUGGAGACGGAAUAAAAAAUGGGUUUUUGGUAUAUUGGAAGUAUCACAUACCACCAGGAGACCCAUUCUUAAGAUCGUCAGGAGGCGUUCCACGGACCAGCUUCUGCCUAUCAUAAAGCGCCAUGUUAAGAGAGGAUCAAGCAUUGUGACUGACGACUGGAGAGCUUACAAGAGAGCUCUGUCAGAGGAGGGAUAUGAUCAUCAUACUGUC